GACGAACGCUGGCGGCGUGCUUAACACAUGCAAGUGGAGCGACGAACCGGGCUUCGGCCCGGGGCAAAGCCGCGAACGGGUGAGUAUCACGUGGGUAACCUGCCCCGAUGACCGGGACAACCCGAGGAAACUCGGGCUAAUACCGGAUGUGCUCCCAAUCCACCAGGGUUGGGAACAAAGGAAGCCUCGGCCUCCGCAUUGGGAUGGGCCCGCGGCCCAUUAGCUUGUUGGUGAGGUAAAGGCGAACCAAGGCCGCGAUGGGUAGCUGGUCUGAGAGGACGAUCAGCCAAACUGGGACGGAGACACGGCCCAGACUCCGACGGGAGGCAGCAGUGGGGAAUCGUGCGCAAUGCGCGAAAGCGUGACGCAGCAACGCCGCGUGAGGGAAGAAGGCCUUCGGGUUGUAAACCUCUUUCAGGAGGGACGAAGGUUCAGGCGCGAAUAGCGACCUGGACUGACGGUACCUCCAGAAGAAGCCCCGGCUAACUACGUGCCAGCCGCCGCCGUAAAAC
rnacentral:rRNA from 1 species